GUGAAGAGACAUAUGAGGUGUAGAAUAGGAGGGAGCUUCGGCGCCGGUGAAAUACCUCCACUCGUACUGUUUCUUUACUUAUUCAUUGAAGCGGAACUGGGUUUCACCGCCCAACUUCUAGCGUUAAGGUCCUUCGCGGGCUGAUCCGGGAUGAA
rnacentral:ncRNA from 1 species